rnacentral:rRNA from 1 species
CUACGGGUGGCUGCAGUCGAGAAUCUUCCGCAAUGGACGAAAGUCUGACGGAGCGACGCCGCGUGCGGGAUGAAGGCCUUCGGGUUGUAAACCGCUGUCAGUGGGGAGGAAAUGCAUCAGGGUUCUCCCUGGUGUUUGACCGGUCCGCAGAGGAAGCGCAGGCUAAGUUCGUGCCAGCAGCCGCGGUAACACGAACUGCGCGAACGUUAUUCGGAAUCACUGGGCUUAAAGAGUUCGUAGGCGGCCUUUCAAGUCGGGUGUGAAAUCCCUCGGCUCAACCGAGGAAUUGCGCCUGAUACUGGUGGGCUUGAGGGGGAUAGGGGUGAGCGGAACUGAUGGUGGAGCGGUGAAAUGCGUUGAUAUCAUCAGGAACACCGGUGGCGAAGGCGGCUCACUGGAUCUCUUCUGACGCUGAGGAACGAAAGCUAGGGGAGCGAACGGGAUUAGAUACCCCCGUAGUC